UGAGGGAGGCUGAGACGGGCGGGAGGGGGAGAAGAAAGGGAGUUUAUGAGAUGAGAGAGAGCUAGGUAAGUGACGGAGAGAGAUGAUGUUGAAACGCUAAUUUAAUUUCCCCAUUCAGAGACGCACCGACCGCUCUCGGGGGGGUUCCAGCUCGACCACCGACGGAGCGGAGCGGUAGCCUAUAGCCCACAUUCCGAGUCCUCGACCGAGGUGACGGCGAGACAGGCUCGAGGGGAGGAAAGGGAGAGAUGGGAUCAGCUUCGUCGGUGUAUCGAGUAAUCUACCUGGACGUCGAUGGCAGAAUUCAGAAGUUGUCUUGAAAGCACCAUAAAUACAGAGAAUGCCAGCCAGACUUUGAUGACAACAUUUGCCCACGAAGGACUGCCGUACCACGUUUCCUGUUCAAGUGAGCACAGCACAACAAGAGCGUUUAAAAUCAACGUACUGAAGACGGAGGUGACAAACCGCUUGGCGAUGUUGGAGAAGAGAGGUGAGCUGGAGGGGAUGAAAGUGGUGGAGAAGUGUGACAGCGACAUCAAGAAGUUCAGGGAUGAGAUGGCCUCCAUGAACAACAGUAGUCAUUUCCUGGAUGACAAAAAGAAGCUGACACCUCGGAGAGACGUGCCCUCUUACCCCAAGUACCACCUGUCUCAGGAGACAGUGGAAGCUCUCAGACAUCCCAGCUUUGAUGUGUGGCAGUGGGAGCCCAAUGAGAUGCUGAGCUGCCUGGAGCACAUGUACAAUGACCUGGACCUGGUCAAGGGCUUCAACAUGAACCCCAUCACACUGAAGAGUUGGCUGCUUUGUAUCCAUGACAACUACCAGAUGAAUCCCUUCCAUAACUUCCGUCACUGUUUUUGUGUCACCCAGAUGAUGUACAGCAUGAUCUGCCUCUGCAGCCUACAGGUAAUACUACAGGAGAUAUUCAGCCAGGUGGACAUUCUGAUUCUGAUGACAGCUGCAGUGUGCCACGAUCUGCAGCACCCAGGGUACAACAACACGUACCAGAUAAACGCACGGACGGAGCUUGCGGUACGCUACAAUGACAUCUCUCCUCUGGAGAAUCAUCACUGUGCCGUGGCCUUCCAGAUCUUCUCUCAGCCUGACUGCAACAUCUUCUCCACCUUCGAUGCUGAGGCCUUCAAACAGAUUCGUCAGGGAAUCAUCACACUGAUCCUGGCCACAGACAUGGCACGACAUGGCGAGAUACUGGACUCAUUCAAGCAUAAAGUGGACCGCUUUGACUUCAGUGAUGAAGAGCAUGUCACUUGUCUGAAGAUGGUGCUAAUUAAGUGCUGUGACAUCUCUAACGAGGUGCGGCCCAUGGAGGUGGCUGAGCCCUGGGUCGACUGUCUGCUGGAGGAAUACUUCAUGCAGAGUGACAGGGAGAAGGCAGAGAGUCUGCCUGUAGCCCCCUUCAUGGACAGAGAAAAGGUCACCAAACCCACCGCCCAGAUCGGAUUCAUCAAGUUCGUCCUUAUCCCCAUGUUUGAGACUGUAAUGAAGCUGUUCCCUCAGAUUGACGAAGUGAUGAUCCAGCCUCUGAGAGAGUCACGAGACAGAUACGAGGAGCUCAAGCAGAUUGACGAUGCCAUGAAUGAGGUGGAGAAAAAAAAAAAGUGAGAACCUGACUAUGGGGAAGAAGAAAUGAGAGCUCGAAGCUCAAAAGUCCUAUGGUGGAGACGAGUCAGUAUGGCAUUCUGAGGAAGAGGGGAAUCCGACCAAGCCUGUCUGACUGGCUGGAUGGACAAUCCAAAGCUUAUAUCAGGAAAUGUCGACUUGAACAGCACGGACUACUUCAGAGUACGUUGAACCGGCCUCAACCACAUGUAACCACGCCAGCCCAGGACCUCCACAUCCGGCUUCUUCACCUGCGGGAUCGUCUGAGACCAACCACCCGGACAGCUGAUGAACAUUUCUAUUUGUAAUAAAGCCCUUUUGUGAAAACCAAAGUAUUCUGAGUGGGUGGUCCUAUGCCUUCCCCAGGCCCACCCGUGGCUCCACCCCCCUGCCUAGGCAUGUGAAAACCAAAGUAUUCUGAGUGGGUGGGCCUAUGCCUUCCCCAGGCCCACCCGUGGCUCCACCCCCCUGCCUAGGCAUGUGAAAACCAAAGUAUUCUGAGUGGGUGGUCCUAUGCCUUCCCCAGGCUCCACCCAUGGCUCCACCCCCCUGCCUAGGCAUGUGAAAACCAAAGUAUUCUGAGUGGGUGGUCCUAUGCCUUCCCCAGGCUCCACCCAUGGCUCCACCCCCCUGCCUAGGUGUGUGAAAUCCAUAGAUUAAGGUUUAACACAUUUAUUUCAAUUGACUGAUUUCCUUGUAUAACCUGUCAUGCAGUAAAAUCAUUCAAAUGGU